rnacentral:lncRNA from 1 species
AUGCAUUCCAAAAAUACGGCCAACAAGCCGGGCGCAGUGGCUCACGCCUAUAAUCCCAGCACUUUGGGAAGCUGAGGCGAAUGGAUCACCCGAGGUCAGGAGUUCGAGACCAGCCUGGCCAACAUGGUGAAACUCUGUCUCUACUUCAGAAGUCUGUGUGGGGAAUGGAGUGCGGCUGCUAGGCUGGUGAGUGGGAUGAGGGUCUUCCAGAUGUGGGAAGUAAGACUGUGUUACAAAGCACCGCUCUAAUCACCGGGGAGACCUGCCUGAAUUCUACCUUCUGGGGCACGAGUCCAUAUAUAUAUAUACACAUAAGAGCCCAGCGAAGGCAGGGCUGCUGCCGCACGGUGGACGUGGCAGGCGGCACUUCCGGCUGGGCUACCGCGGCUGCGGAGGGACAUCCUUCAAGAACAGGCGCCGGUCCCGGCGUCCGCCGCGCAGUUAGGAAACUGACUGUCGCUCUCUCCGGCCUCGGCGCUGCUUUCAAAACAAGGAAACAAGGCAGGAGAGAGUCCAUGAAAUUGGGGGGAGUCCAAAGAGGGAGUGUUUCUGUCCUUGGAACUCACCUUUUCUUCUCUCCAUUUCUCCUCUUCUCCUUCCCAUCUAGUGCAGCAUCUUCACUCCGAAGCAGAAAUUUGCCAAAAAAGCAUCCUCUUUUUAUCAGAAAAUAAAAUAUCCUGGUUUCUUAGCCUGGCAAUUGAGCUAAUCAGUGGAAUCAAGGGAAACUUUUUUGUUUGAGAUGGAGUCUCCCUCUGUCACCCAGGCUGGAGUGCAGUGGCACAGUCUUGGCUUACUGCAACCUCCACCUCCCGGGUUCAAGUGAUUCACCUGCCUCACCUUCCGGAGUAGCUGGGGUUACAAGCAUUCCUGAGACCACAGGCGUGUGCCACCAUGGCUAGCUAAUUUUUGUAUUUUAUUUUUGUAGAGACAGGGUUUUGCCAUGCUGCCUAGGCUGGUCUCAAACUCCUGGGCUCAAGUGAUCCACCCACCUGGCAAACGUCUAUGAAUUCCAUCAGAGGGCCUUACUGUGAAUGUAGGUUCUGUCCAGGAAGCUGUCCAGGAAGCUGUGAGAUCUUGGGCAAGUUACAUAUCUCUCUGUCUUUCAGUUUCUUGCGGUGGCUCACGCCUGUAAUCCCAGCACUUUGGGAGGCCGAGGCGGGCGGAUCACGAGGUCAAGAGAUCAAGACCAUCCUGGCCAACAUGGUGAAACCCCAUGUCUACUAAAAAUACAAAAAUGAGCCAGGUGUGGUGAUAUGUCAGGUCUGCAGUGAAGCUGUCUCGGGCAAAUGGGAAUAUAUGGUCACAUUAUUUAUGAACCCACUGCAGCUCUACUGCUCACCAUUGUCCACCUUGACCUCUCCCUACUCAGAGACUAUGACAGUCCCUGUUCGUUGUAGCAUUUACUUAACUCUUAGCCUAUGCUGUCUGGAGCCAGUUUGUAUUUGCUCUUGUUAGGUACAGAUGUCCUGUCUUCCCAAGUGGACUGUAAGUGCCUGAGGGCAAGGACCCAUCAUACACUUCCCUGUGACCCGAGUGUGCAGAUAGGUGGCUUGACAAAGAGAUGAGUGAUAGUUCCCCUUUCUCUAUGGCUGACUGCCACCGUCACUACUUGAGACCCUCAUUACGAUAGUUACUACUGUUACUAUUUGAGACCUUCACUACGACAGUUACUACUGACUACUUGAGACCGUCACUAUGACAGUUCCUACUGUUACUACUUGAGACCUUCACUUUGACAGUUACUACUGUUAGUACUUGAGACCGUCAUUAUGACAGUUGCUGUUACUACUUGAGACCAUCACUACAACAGUUACUAUUGUUACUACUUGAGACCAUCAUUAUGACAGUUACUACUGUUACUACUUGAGACCGUCAUUAUAACAGUUGUUGCCAUUACUCUUUAACACCCUCAUUACAAGACUGAAUGAAGGGAUGAACAUAGACAAUGAAAACUUAAAGCAAAAAGGAAGGGUCCAGGGGAAGAAGAAGAGAGCUCCCUGCUUCUAGUGAGCAAAGGCAGCCCUUGAGCUUCCACAGCCCUUCGUAUUUGUUGGGUAGCAAGAGCAGGGAGGAGGAGGUAAUGAUGGGUUGGCUGCUUAACUGAUAACAGGUUCAUAAUAUUAUUAACAGGCUUCAGAU